rnacentral:lncRNA from 1 species
GGAGGCGCAGCAGCUCCCGUCCCCGGGGCGGGGGGCGUGUCAGCCCAUCUCCGCUGUUCCCUCUCCAGCGCGUCCUCUCCCAGCCUGGGGGCCUCAGCCGCGGAGCAGCGGGUCCCGGCUGUGAUGGGAGAGGCACCCAUGCAGACUCAGGACACGUGGCCGGUGCUCUCUCCGUGGCAGCCUGGCUGUGGGCGCUGAGCACCUGCAAGGCCUCCGCACGGCCCUGAGCUGCGGGGACACCCCCGGGCAGCGGAUGGCCUGGUGCUCACAGACCGCUUCUUCCCAGACUCCGACGCUUCGCUCAUGUCAGAGACAUUGAGGCUGAUGGCCAGCGCUCAGGACGUGUAGCUGCUGACUUCCUAACGCCGACGGUGGCUGGUUAGGGGGAUGACAGAUGAAAAACCAGUGAGAACCGCCUGGAGAUGGCCGUUCACCGUCCCAGCGAGAAAGGGAAAGGCCCCCGGCACCCGGGUGACCCACAGGGAAACACAGCAAGACAGGUGCAGGCCCGAGGCAGGUGCUCAGUUUCACGGGGAGGCGAGGGCACUGGACAGACACGUUUGGACACUGUUUGAACAGUUCACCGGUAAACACAGCUACGAGUGAGGUCACAGCUCAGGACCUGGGUCUUGCGUCUCUCGCUCUUCUUGCCCGUGGCAUCCUCUGAGGCCCAGCCUAAACGCCAGCUCACCCCGACGCCUCCAAUCAGGUCCAAUCACUGGCUCUCAGCCCCUCCGUGAUGCACCUCCUAGACGUUUAUUAAAGCGUUUAUUUCACCCAGCCUUGCAUGAGAGUCAGUAAUUAACCUGCCUGUCUCCCCUAAAUGAUAGAUUUCUCGAGGGAGAGAACUGUGUGUUAUUCAUCGCAGCGCCUCGCAUGGAGUGGCUGACUGAGCAAAUAUUUGCUGGGGGAUGAAUAACUCAGGGGAUCCCCCGGAGGGCUCACACCCGGGCGCCUGGUUCUGAAGCUGAGUCCGUGGCUGGGUGCUCUCUAGGAUGGACUGGGACGCCCGGGUUCUAUCAGUGCCCGCCUCUGGCUUGACUGUGGGAUGCCAUGGACACUGAGUCCCGGGGCGUACUCUAUCCAACCCUGGGGCUGUGGGCCGGCAGGCUCCCUUUGAUCCGCUGAGUCCUGUCCCAGGGAACGGCCGUCCGAUUUCCGUCAUGAAGGUGGAACACUCAUAUUCCUGCACUGCACUUUCCCAG